GGGCCUGUAGCUCAACUGGCAGAGCGCUUCAAUGGCAUUGAAGAGGUUGUGAGUUCGACCCUCAUCAGGUCCACCA
rnacentral:tRNA from 2 species